CCAUUCAAUCACUUCUCAUCCAUGCCGGUUUACCUGUGAAGCAACGUUGAGUCCAGUUAGUACUUGGAUCGGAGACGGCCUGGGAAUCCUGGAUGUUGUAAGCU
rnacentral:rRNA from 1 species